UAGGGAAUCUUCCGCAAUGGGCGAAAGCCUGACGGAGCAACGCCGCGUGAGUGAUGAAGGUCUUCGGAUCGUAAAACUCUGUUAUUAGGGAAGAACAAAUGUGUAAGUAACUAUGCACGUCUUGACGGUACCUAAUCAGAAAGCCACGGCUAACUACGUGCCAGCAGCCGCGGUAAUACGUAGGUGGCAAGCGUUAUCCGGAAUUAUUGGGCGUAAAGCGCGCGUAGGCGGUUUUUUAAGUCUGAUGUGAAAGCCCACGGCUUAACCGUGGAGGGGCAUUGGAAACUGGAAAACUUGAGUGCAGGAGAGGAAAGUGGAAUUCCAUGUGUAGCGGUGAAAUGCGCAGAGAUAUGGAAGAACACCAGUGGCGAAGGCGGCUUUCUGGUCUGUAACUGACGCUGAUGUGCGAAAGCGUGGGGAGCAAACAGG
rnacentral:rRNA from 1 species